UCCUGUACUCUUAAGAGGUGGCACUUAGAAAGUGACAAACACUGAUGGACCCCCAAACCUUCAAAAGCAGUUUCCCAGGAGACCUUACUAACUAGUUCCCUGGGAAGCAUGAAGUCUGCUCUCCUUAUAUCCAGGAUUGAAUUUUUAAUGUAAAAACAUGC